rnacentral:rRNA from 1 species
ACGCACGCUGGCGGCGUGCCUAACACAUGCAAGUUGAGCGACGAACCAGGGCUUGCCCUGGGGCAAAGCAGCGAACGGGUGAGUAACACGUGGGUAACCUACCCCGAUAACCGGGACAACCCGAGGAAACUCGGGCUAAUACCGGAUGUGCUCACUGGACUUCGGUUCAGUGCGUAAAGGAAGCUUCGGCCUCCGUAUCGGGAGGGGCCCGCGGCCCAUUAGUUUGUUGGUGAGGUAACGGCUCACCAAGACCGCGAUGGGUAGCUGGUCUGAGAGGACGAUCAGCCACACUGGGACUGAGACACGGCCCAGACUCCUACGGGAGGCAGCAGUGGGGAAUCUUGCGCAAUGCGCGAAAGCGUGACGCAGCAACGCCGCGUGGGGGAAGAAGGCCUUCGGGUUGUAAACCCCUUUCAGGAGGGACGAAGGUUCGGCGGUGAAUAGCCGUCCGGACUGACGGUACCUCCACAAGAAGCCCCGGCUAACUACGUG